AUCCUGGCUUAGGAUGAACGCUAGCUACAGGCUUAACACAUGCAAGUCGAGGGGCAGCAUAUCGAAGCUUGCUUGACAGAUGGCGACCGGCGCACGGGUGAGUAACGCGUAUCCAACCUUCCCCAUAGUAGGGCAUAGCCCGUAGAAAUGCGGAUUAAUACCCUAUGUAUUCCGAGGAUGACAUCUGAUUCGGAACAAGGUUCACCGCUAUGGGAUGGGGGAUGCGUCUGAUUAGGUAGUAGGCGGGGUAACGGCCCACCUAGCCGACGAUCAGUAGGGUUCUGAGAGGAAGGUCCCCCACAUUGGAACUGAGACACGGUCCAAACUCCUACGGGAGGCAGCAGUGAGGAAUAUUGGUCAAUGGGCGAGAGCCUGAACCAGCCAAGUAGCGUGCAGGAUGACGGCCCUAUGGGUUGUAAACUGCUUUUAUACAGGGAUAAAGUCGGGGACGCGUUCCCCGUUUGCAGGUACUGUAUGAAUAAGGACCGGCUAAUUCCGUGCCAGCCGCUGC
rnacentral:rRNA from 1 species